AUGACCUCCUGCGGUAACGAGCCGCUCUUCAAGGACGGCAAGGGCUGCGGCUCCUGCUACCAGAUAAGGUGCUUAAGGUCAAACCACCCUGCGUGCUCUGGUGUGCCGGAGACGGUGAUCAUCACGGACAUGAACUACUAUCCGGUCUCUCCCUACCACUUCGACCUCAGCGGCACUGCCUUUGGAGCCAUGGCCAAGGACGGCCGCAACGACGAGCUUCGUAAUGCGGGCAUCAUUGACAUGCAGUUUCGGAGGGUGCCGUGCCAGUACCCGGGGCUGGCCGUGAUGUUCCACGUGGAGAAGGGGUCGAACCCGUUCUACAUGGCAAUCCUGGUGGAAUACGAGAACGGCGACGGCGAUGUGAAACUGCUGGAAAUCAUGGAGUCACGUCCGGACGCUGGUAACGGCGGCGAGAUGGCUCCAACGGGGGACUGGGUGCCCAUGAAGGAGUCGUGGGGUUCCAUCUGGAGGAUGGAUGCCCGACACCGCAUGCAGGGGUCAUUCUCGUUGCGCAUCACUAACGAGUCUGGCAAGAUGCUCGUCGGCGACCAGGUCAUCCCCGCUGACUGGAAGCCAGAAAAAGUCUACAGCUCCGUCAUCCAGUUUGAUUAA
rnacentral:rRNA from 1 species